AUAUCAUGUUUGUUGGUGUUAGAUGAACCCAGCUCAUCACCCGCUCACUAAAGUUCAGGAUUUAACACCAAUCCACUGUUUGCAGGCAGUUCACUCUCAAACAAAAUACUUUUCUCCUUUUUGUCCUUUAUUAUAGUUUCUGUUCUCUGCAGCUUGUUUUCUAAACUCUACACUGUUCACUUCUACCUAAUUGAAUAGUUUAGUCUUUAUUUGAAACCUUUGUUAUAUUUUGGCACCAGUCAGGGAUGCAGCCAAUCAGUGACAUAAUUAAGUGUGAGAAUUACAGGGAAACUUUCCAGCUUCCAUCAUUAAAAGUUAAAAUUAUUCAAGAUAAAAGAGCAUUGAGAUGGCUAGAUGAUCACUUGGCCCUGGAAAUUUGACGUAUGAAGAGAACACUAGCUGCUCUACAAGUAAACAAAGCCAAAAAUUUCCAUCCAGCUCCCUUUUUUUCCAUUGCUGAUGUUUUGGCUGGUUGACAUUAUAUGAAGAUCUCUUCAGACCCUUUUUCACGGCCGAGAAUGACUUGUUCCCCAUUCUUGUCAAGGUCACUGCACUCUGUCAGCUGAUGGCCAUUCCUUGUUGGAGGUUGCUUCUCGUGAAGAACUGACCUGUCAUGGAAAAGAGGUCAGUGUUGGAAGGGAAUGGAUAGGCAAAGAAGACAAAUAAUUGUCAAGGAAGAAUAAGACUCACAGGGAAAUGCAACCUUUCUGAGGACGUGGAGAUUAUAUCACAUUUGGUCAAGUUUGAGGUGUUUUUUAUUCCAUGAAGUUUGAAAGGGCAGGAUGUCCGGAACAGAGCUGUCUGAUUCAAUGUCAUGCCUCAAGCUGGCUUUACUGAGAGUUGAAGCUAUAUAUACCAUGCUCUCUGUUUUCUGUCUGCGCCGUGUUUUAUCUCCCUUGUGCGUGGCAUUGCAGAGGAAGGCAGGUGGUCUCCUAUUCGGCAACAUCUUCAGGGCAUGACUGCCGAAAUUUCGCAGAAACACUCCACUAGAGGGCAUCUGCACAUCCUCACAUCUGUAACGUAAACCUGUUCAUAAUUGUCAAGAAGUCGGUGAAGCAUUUACAGUCAAAAUUAUAAAGUGCUGGAACUUAGGGCCACCUGCUUAUGAGUUUUUAUUAUUUUUAAUUAACACACCACUCUGCUCUGUAUCCAGAACAUAUGAGUUCAGUGAGAUACUUUAGUCAGCAAAACUUUCAGAUGGUGACCUUCAAAGGUGACCAACUUAUAAAGUCUGAGAAAAUUUGUAUUACCUGAAAAAAAUAUGUGCUGGCUUAUUUUCACAGUGGAGUAAACUAAUCGUUAUUUUUAAGCAAACGCUGCUCACAAACAUCCAAAUUCACAACCUUUCCUAUGUGAGAUGGUUACUCCAUAGCAAUUGCAUAUCUGGUUUAUUUUUAUUCCUCCUGACUUAGAUUACAUUGUGAAGACUGAGCCCUCCACAAUUGCCAAGAGAGCGUCAAACUGGCUAACAGUACAAAUGCAUCUUAGUUCAUCUGUGCAGUUGUUGUAGCAGAACUUUAAAACGCAAUUACAUGUACCUCUAUAGGAGUGAAUGAGUAUAAAUACUUUGAAGUCAGACCUUGCAAUAACGGACAGGAUUAAAUAAGAAAGAUGCAAGGAAAAAUAUGCUGUCAAGCCAACAAAUCAUUCUGCAGCUCUUCAGAAAAUUUAAAACUGCAUUCAAUAGCAGUAAUAUUAGAAAUGCUACAUGUUUUUGAAGCAGCACUGUAAAUGUAUUGUUGAAGAACUGUUAAGUAAUGU
rnacentral:lncRNA from 7 species